rnacentral:rRNA from 1 species
AUUGAACGCUGGCGGCAGGCCUAACACAUGCAAGUCGAACGGAAAAAGGGAGCUUUUUGCUGGUUUCCGCGCCGGACGCGUGAGUGUUGCCUAUGAAUCGGCCUCGUAGUGGUGGAUAAUGUCCGCAACUGGCCGCUGCUACCACAUACGUCCUGUGUCGGAAGGUGGGGGAUGUUGGGACCUCACCCUAUUGCAUGAGCCUAGGUCGGAUUAGCUAGUUGGUGGGGUAAAGGCCUACCAAGGCGACGAUCCGUAACUGGUCUGAGAGGAUGAUCAGUCACACUGGAACUGAGACACGGUCCAGACUCCUACGGGAGGCAGCAGUGGGGAAUAUUGGACAAUGGGCGAAAGCCUGAUCCAGCCAUGCCGCGUGUGUGAAGAAGGUCUUCGGAUUGUAAAGCACUUUAAGUUGGGAGGAAGGGCAGUAAGUUAAUACCUUGCUGUAUUGACGUUACCAACAGAAUAAGCACCGGCUAACUUCGUG